UAAUACAGAGACCUCAAGCGUUAUCCGGAAUCAUUGGGCGUAAAGCGUGCCGAUAGGUGGUUUUAUUAGUCUUGGGUAAAAGCCAGAAGCUUAACUUCUGAGUUUGCUUAAGAUACUGUAAGACUAGAGGGGCAAAGAGGUGCUUGGAACGAAUGGUGUAGUAGUGAAAUGCGUUGAUAUCAUUCGGAACACCGAAAGCGAAGGCAGAGCACUGGGUGCCACCUGACACUGCUAGGACGAAAGCGUGGGGAGCGAAUGGGAUUAGAUACCCCAGUAGUCCACGCUGUAAACGAUGAAUACUAGGCAUGCGCGAGUAUCGACCCUCGUGCGAGCCGUAGCUAACGCGUUAAGUAUUCCGCCUGGGGAGUACGGUCGCAAGACUA
rnacentral:rRNA from 1 species